rnacentral:rRNA from 1 species
CAGGCUUAACACAUGCAAGUCGAGGGGCAGCAUGGUCUUAGCUUGCUAAGGCCGAUGGCGACCGGCGCACGGGUGAGUAACACGUAUCCAACCUGCCGUCUACUCUUGGACAGCCUUCUGAAAGGAAGAUUAAUACAAGAUGGCAUCAUGAGUCCACAUGUUCACAUGAUUAAAGGUAUUCCGGUAGACGAUGGGGAUGCGUUCCAUUAGAUAGUAGGCGGGGUAACGGCCCACCUAGUCUUCGAUGGAUAGGGGUUCUGAGAGGAAGGUCCCCCACAUUGGAACUGAGACACGGUCCAAACUCCUACGGGAGGCAGCAGUGAGGAAUAUUGGUCAAUGGGCGAGAGCCUGAACCAGCCAAGUAGCGUGAAGGAUGACUGCCCUAUGGGUUGUAAACUUCUUUUAUAAAGGAAUAAAGUCGGGUAUGCAUACCCGUUUGCAUGUACUUUAUGAAUAAGGAUCGGCUAACUCCGUGCCAGCAGCCGCGGUAAUACGGAGGAUCCGAGCGUUAUCCGGAUUUAUUGGGUUUAAAGGGAGCGUAGAUGGAUGUUUAAGUCAGUUGUGAAAGUUUGCGGCUCAACCGUAAAAUUGCAGUUGAUACUGGAUAUCUUGAGUGCAGUUGAGGCAGGCGGAAUUCGUGGUGUAGCGGUGAAAUGCUUAGAUAUCACGAAGAACUCCGAUUGCGAAGGCAGCCUGCUAAGCUGCAACUGACAUUGAGGCUCGAAAGUGUGGGUAUCAAACAGGAUUAGAUACCCUGGUAGUCCACACGGUAAACGAUGAAUACUCGCUGUUUGCGAUAUACAGCAAGCGGCCAAGCGAAAGCGUUAAGUAUUCCACCUGGGGAGUACGCCGGCAAUGGUGAAACUCAAAGGAAUUGACGGGGGCCCGCACAAGCGGAGGAACAUGUGGUUUAAUUCGAUGAUACGCGAGGAACCUUACCCGGGCUUAAAUUGCAGAUGAAUUACGGUGAAAGCCGUAAGCCGCAAGGCAUCUGUGAAGGUGCUGCAUGGUUGUCGUCAGCUCGUGCCGUGAGGUGUCGGCUUAAGUGCCAUAACGAGCGCAACCCUUGUUGUCAGUUACUAACAGGUCAUGCUGAGGACUCUGACAAGACUGCCAUCGUAAGAUGUGAGGAAGGUGGGGAUGACGUCAAAUCAGCACGGCCCUUACGUCCGGGGCUACACACGUGUUACAAUGGGGGGUACAGAGGGCCGCUACCACGCGAGUGGAUGCCAAUCCCAAAAACCUCUCUCAGUUCGGACUGGAGUCUGCAACCCGACUCCACGAAGCUGGAUUCGCUAGUAAUCGCGCAUCAGCCACGGCGCGGUGAAUACGUUCCCGGGCCUUGUACACGCCGCCCGUCAAGCCAUGGGAGCCGGGGGUACCUGAAGUGCGUAACCGCGAGGAGCGCCCUAGGGUAAAACUGGUGACUGGGGCUAAGUCAUAACA